rnacentral:rRNA from 1 species
AACGAACGCUGGCGGCGUGCUUAACACAUGCAAGUCGAACGGAGUCAUAUUGUGUAGCAAUACAUGAUAUGACUUAGUGGCGGACGGGUGAGUAACACGUAGGUAACCAACCCUAGAGCGGGGGACAACCCAGGGAAACUUGGGCUAAUACCGCAUAAGACCACGGACUGGGAGGUCUGUGGUAAAAGUAGCAAUACACUUUAGGAUGGGCCUGCGGCCUAUCAGGUAGUUGGCGGGGUAAAGGCCCACCAAGCCUAAGACGGGUAGCCGGACUGAGAGGUUGAACGGCCACACUGGAACUGAGAUACGGUCCAGACUCCUACGGGAGGCUG